GCUGGGGUGGCAGAACGGCUAAUGCGCCAGACUUGAGGGCGGAAAAUGACGAGCAAGAUAUCUGGUGUCCGUAAGGGAUGAAGCAUGUUUCACUUGCUUCGGUCUGCGGAAGGACGUGCAGGUUCAAAUCCUGCCCCCAGCG
rnacentral:tRNA from 1 species